rnacentral:lncRNA from 1 species
ACAAUCUGCUGAGCUCGCAUGUGCGGGGGGUGGGGUCCCGUGGCUUCCCCCUGCGCCUCCAGGUACCCGCCGGCGGCAGUCUUCCCUUUUCGGGCGGGAUGGUGGGCCGGGGUCCAGUGCUUGCCUAAACUCCUCCGCCCUGCAGGCCACCGAGGUCCGUAUCUGCCCUGUGGAAUUCAACCCCAACUUCGUGGCGCGUAUGAUACCUAAAGUGGAGUGGUCGGCGUUCCUGGAGGCGGCCGAUAACUUGCGUCUGAUCCAGGUGCCGAAAGGGCCGGUUGAGGGAUAUGAGGAGAAUGAGGAGUUUCUGAGGACCAUGCACCACCUGCUGCUGGAGGUGAGAAGCGGCCCAUCACUUGCUUCCCGGGCCACCUGCCUCCCGCACUGAGGCUGCCAGUGCUCAGCUCUGUCCCUCCCUGCCCGCAGGUGGAAGUGAUAGAGGGCACCCUGCAGUGCCCGGAAUCUGGACGUAUGUUCCCCAUCAGCCGCGGGAUCCCCAACAUGCUGCUGAGUGAAGAGGAAACUGAGAGUUGAUUGUGCCAGGCGCCAGUUUUUCUUGUUAUGACUGUGUAUUUUUGUUGAUCUAUACCCUGUUUCCGAAUUCUGCCGUGUGUAUCCCCAACCCUUGACCCAAUGACACCAAACACAGUGUUUUUGAGCUCGGUAUUAUAUAUUUUUUUCUCAUUAAAGGUUUAAAACCAAAA